UUUGGAGAAGAGCGGCGGACGGGUGAGUAACGCGUGGGUAACCUGCCCUGUACACACGGAUAGCAUACCGAAAGGUAUGCUAAUACGAGAUAAUAUGCUUUUAUCGCAUGGUAGAAGUAUCAAAGCUUUUGCGGUACAGGAUGGACCCGCGUCUGAUUAGCUAGUUGGUAAGGUAACGGCUUACCAAGGCGACGAUCAGUAGCCGACCUGAGAGGGUGAUCGGCCACAUUGGAACUGAGACACGGUCCGAACUCCUACGGGAGGCAGCAGUGGGGAAUAUUGCACAAUGGGCGAAAGCCUGAUGCAGCAACGCCGCGUGAGCGAUGAAGGCCUUCGGGUCGUAAAGCUCUGUCCUCAAGGAAGAUAAUGACGGUACUUGAGGAGGAAGCCCCGGCUAACUACGUGCCAGCAGCCGCGGUAAUACGUAGGGGGCUAGCGUUAUCCGGAAUUACUGGGCGUAAAGGGUGCGUAGGUGGUUUCUUAAGUCAGAGGUGAAAGGCUACGGCUCAACCGUAGUAAGCCUUUGAAACUGGGAAACUUGAGUGCAGGAGAGGAGAGUGGAAUUCCUAGUGUAGCGGUGAAAUGCGUAGAUAUUAGGAGGAACACCAGUUGCGAAGGCGGCUCUCUGGACUG
rnacentral:rRNA from 1 species